GUCUGAGUCCAUGAUACUGAGCGCUUUUCUGCCUAGAGGUAAGUUGCCGCUCUCUGUUCGUGUACAUUAUAAACUAAUGUAUGGAACAAGUUGAUCAUUAAAAUAUUCAUGGAAGUAACAUGCAUAGGCCUCAUGUUUAUGUCAUGAGGUCGUUUGAAAAAUAGCAUUUAGGCAGUGUUUUUCAGCUUUUUUUAACGCCAUGCCCUCGGGCCACAUAUGAGGACAAAUAAUCGGGUCCACAUAUGAGGACAAUUAAAUAAACUCCAAUAUUUUGCUUAUCCUGGUAUUAUACGCCAAACCACAUUGGUAAGAUAUGUUUCGUGAAACAUUGAAACCUGAUUUAAAUUUUGCUUUUCCCCUCCAGAUUUGUCUGCACAUUGCACCACGACAUUGCACCACAUAACACACACAUUACGAAACCAACAGUUAUUUUAAGAACUCCUCUCUGUCUGUCUGUCUUUGUCUGACUGACUGACUGAUGGUCUGUCUGUCUGACUGACUGACUGUCUGUCUGUCUGUCUGAAGGACCGUCUGUGUCCUUAUUUUCUCUUGUCAGGUAGGUUCACUGCAAUGCUUAAAAAAAAAUCAUAUUUCAUAUCCGGGUCUAUAAAAACAGUUACUAAUGCGCUAUAUUUGUGUGUGUUUCUACCCUAGAGUAUGUCUGAGAGAAAUAAAGAAGUUAAUCAAUAAAUCAUUCACUUGAAUUAGAGUAUGAUAAGGCAUAAUAACAGGAUUUGAAUAUCAACAUUUAAUGCAUGGCCUUACUCUUUGCAUAGUGCAUUCCAUUUUGAUAUAGGAAUUCUGCGUUGACAAUUAUCAAAAUAAAUGUAAUGAAAUACAUUCAUUUAUUCAUUCUUUGUGUCCAUUUGUUACCCACAGCUACUUUGAUUGACCUUGUGUUGCCUUCGUACAUGUGCGUGUGUGUGUGUGUGUGUGUGUGUGUGUGUGUGUGUGUGUGUGUGUGUGCCUAUGUGCGUGACAGGUGUACCACUGCUGAAAUUGACGGACCUGGAAACCGGGAACAGGGUUGCUUGCUAUGGGCCAGAAAAAUACCUUGAUACUUGCCUUUGUCAAACAUUUA
ensembl:lncRNA